GCUGGUGUACUGCUGGGGGCGGUGGUGGCGGUGGGUGGACGAGCGGACGCAGGCGUACCAGAGCUUCGAGAUCCCGCGGUAUAGCGAGAGCGGGCAGGAGAACCCGCUGUACCGCCGCGCCGCCGCCUAUGUCGCGGCCCUCCCCUCCCUCGAGGACGCCGCUGCCGCCACCCUCUUCUCCUCCGGCCGCAAGCCCAACGACUUCUUCCUCCUCCUCGGCCCCGGCCAGUCCGCCGCUGAUUCCUUCCUCGGCGACCGCGUCUCGUGGACCAACGCCCCCGCCGGUGGAGCCGGCGGCCCCCGCCUCGUCCUCCGCCUCCGCCGCCAGGACCGCACCCGCGUCCUUCGUCCCUACCUCCAGCACGUUGAGUCCGUCGCAGACGACCUCGAGCUCCGGCGUAAGGAGGUCAGGCUGUUCACCAGCUACGCGGGCGUCGGCGAUGGCGGGGGACCGCGGUGGCGGUCGGCGCCGUUCACCCACCCGGCGACGCUCGACACGGUCGCGAUGGACCUGGACCUCAAGGCGCGGGUCCGCGCCGACCUUGAGUCGUUCCUCAAGGGCCGCGCCUACUACCACCGGGUCGGUCGCGUCUGGCGGCGGAGCUACCUCCUCUACGGGCCCCCCGGUACCGGCAAGUCCACUUUCGUCGCCGCGAUGGCCAAGUUCCUCUGCUACGAUAUCUACGACGUCGACCUCUCCCGCGUCUCCGCGGGCGGGGACGGCGUCGGCGCCGACCUGAAGGCCCUCCUCCUCAGCACCACCCCCAGGUCGGUGAUCCUGGUCGAGGACCUCGACCGGCACCUCAAGGGCAAAGGCGUCGGUGAGGAGGGCGAGUCGCAGCUCACCCGGAUCCUAAACUUCAUGGACGGAAUUUUCUCGUGCUGCGGCGAGGAGCGGGUGAUGGUGUUCACGAUGACCUCCGACGGCGGCGGAAUGGAGGGGGUUGAGCCGGCGGUGCUGCGGCCGGGGCGGCUCGACGUGCACAUCCACUUCCCCCUCUGCGACUUCACCGCCUUCAAGACCCUCGCGAGCAGCUACCUCGGCCUCAAGGACCAUAAGCUGUACCCGCAGGUGGAGGAGGUGUUCCAGGGCGGCGCCAGGAUCAGCCCGGCGGAGGUGGGCGAGAUCAUGAUCGCCAACCGUGCCUCUCCGAGCCGGGCGCUGAAGUCGGUUAUCAGCGCGUUGCACCAGUCGUCAUCGGCCGCGGGGCGGAGGCUGAGCGAGAGCGGCUCGGGGCGGCGGUGGGACGACGCAGCGGCUGGCAGCGACUGCGGCAACGGCGGCGGCAGCGGCAACGGCGGGCUGGGGUUCGGGAAGGAGUCAAUCAAGGAGUUCAAGAAGCUGUACGGGUUGAUAAAGAUGAGGAGCGGGAGCAAGAAGGAAGGCGUGAUGCCGGUGGAGGUGGCGGCCGCCGCGGCCGCCGCAGGCGCUCCGUUGGACAAGCUAGACAAAGAUAACUCCUCCCAC
rnacentral:lncRNA from 1 species